rnacentral:rRNA from 1 species
UUCUCCUACGGGACGCAGCAGUGGGGAAUAUUGCACAAUGGGGGAAACCCUGAUGCAGCUCCUCCGCUUUCUCGAUGAAGUAUUUCGGUAUGUAAAGCUCUAUCAGCAGGGAAGAAAAUGACGGUACCUGACUAAGAAGCCCCGGCUAACUACGUGCCAGCAGCCGCGGUAAUACGUAGGGGGCAAGCGUUAUCCGGAUUUACUGGGUGUAAAGGGAGCGUAGACGGUCCUGCAAGCCAGAUGUGAAAGCCCGGGGUCCAACCCCG